AGUGAACGCUGGCGGUAGGCCUAACACAUGCAAGUCGAACGGCAGCACAGUAAGAGCUUGCUCUUACGGGUGGCGAGUGGCGGACGGGUGAGGAAUACAUCGGAAUCUACUUUUUCGUGGGGGAUAACGUAGGGAAACUUACGCUAAUACCGCAUACGACCUACGGGUGAAAGCAGGGGAUCUUCGGACCUUGCGCGAUUGAAUGAGCCGAUGUCGGAUUAGCUAGUUGGCGGGGUAAAGGCCCACCAAGGCGACGAUCCGUAGCUGGUCUGAGAGGAUGAUCAGCCACAGUGAAACUGAGACACGGUCAAGACCCCUACGGGAGGCAGCAGUGGGGAAUAUUGGAAAAGGGGCGCAAGCCUGAUCCAGCCAUACCGCGUGGGUGAAGAAGGCUUUCGGGUUGUAAAGCCGUUUUGUUGGGAAGAAAAAGCAGCAGGUUAAUACCCCGCUGUUCUGACGGUACCAAAAGAAUAAGCACCGGCUACCUUCGG
rnacentral:rRNA from 1 species